GGCUGGCUGGUGGACGUGCCACUCGCCAACCGGGUCAGGUCGGGAACGAAGCAGCCCCAACGAGAUUUCGGCGCGGGUCACCUCAAGGUCAGUCUUC
rnacentral:SRP_RNA from 1 species